rnacentral:lncRNA from 10 species
GUUAGCUAUUGGCUGGGUGCAGUGGCUCACAUCUAUAAUCCCAGCACGGUGGGAGGCGGAGGCAGAUGGGUGGCUUGAGCUCAGGAGUUCAAGACCAUCCUGGGCAACAUGGAGAAACCCCAUCUCUACAAAAAAAAGUACAAAAAUUAGCCGGGCAUGGUGGCACAUGCCCAUGGUCACAGCUACUCCAGCAGCUGGGAUCACUUGAGCUCAGAAGGUCAAGGCUGCAGUGGACCUCAGGUGAUCUGCCCUCCUUGGCCUCCCAAAUUGCUGGGAUUACAGGUGUGAAUCACUGUGCCCAGCCAACUUCCUCUUUUUCAAAGGACACCAAUCAUAUUGGAUUAUGAGCCCACCCUACUACUCCAGUGUGACUUCAUCCUACCUUAACUAAUUCUAUCUGCAACGACCUUAUUUCCAAA